UACGUAGGUGGCAAGCGUUGUCCGGAUUUACUGGGUGUAAAGGGCGUGUAGCCGGGCUGACAAGUCAGAUGUGAAAUCCGGGGGCUCAACCCCCGAACUGCAUUUGAAACUGUUGGUCUUGAGUAUCGGAGAGGCAGGCGGAAUUCCUAGUGUAGCGGUGAAAUGCGUAGAUAUUAGGAGGAACACCAGUGGCGAAGGCGGCCUGCUGGACGACAACUGACGGUGAGGCGCGAAAGCGUGGGGAGCAAUCAGG
rnacentral:rRNA from 1 species